rnacentral:rRNA from 1 species
UACGUAGGGGGCAAGCGUUAUCCGGAUUUACUGGGUGUAAAGGGAGCGUAGACGGCCAGACAAGUCUGAAGUGAAAAUCCAGCGCUUAACGUUAGAAGUGCUUUGGAAACUGCCGGGCUGGAGUGCAGGAGGGGCAGGCGGAAUUCCUAGUGUAGCGGUGAAAUGCGUAGAUAUUAGGAGGAACACCAGUGGCGAAGGCGGCCUGCUGGAUUGCAACUGACGUUGAGGCUCGAAGGCGUGGGGAGCAAACAGG